AGUCCCAGAUUGCUGAUGCGGAAGUUGAAAGGCGGAGAUUUAGGGACAUGUUUGAUCUUUUUUAGAUGAGUGAAGAGUCAUAAGGAAUUCAUCUUGUACUCUAUUACUCAUCGUUUAAAGUCAGUGAAAUUAUAAACGUUGUUUAGAGCAGUUCACAACAUUUGCAUUUACUACAGAGUGGAAGAUUUGAACUCAAACGAAUCCCAUUUUAAAAGCCGUCAGGAGGAGGGGAAGAACAGAGCUUCUUUCCAUAGCAAAUCGAAUUCGAGACAACAUACGCACCUCUUCUUAAAAAGUUAGUAAAAACGAGUGCAAUAAUAAAAGCAUAUUUUUUAUGUAACUUCACAUUUUAUGUAUGUAUGUAUCUAUGUGCAUACAUCGAUUAAUUUUAUAUAAAAAAAAAUAAAUUGUAUUCAGUGCAUUUCACAGUCUUAUUUAUAGAUAAUGUUGUUCGGAACUCCUGCCUUUACCAAAUUCAAUUUCUAUCAUGAUUGUUAUUCCAAUUUUAUGUAUGCUUACAUUCACCUACUUAUGUUUAUGAAUUCCAAUAUUUGCUAUUUACUUGCUUGUAUAUAUGUACAUAUGUAUGUAUUUCAAUUUGUCAUUCCUGUGUACAUAUGUACGUUUACCGCUUUAAUUGCUUACUUAUUCACAUGUAUAAUUUGUUUUUGUUAAUUUCCCGUACUGCGGCAUUUGCCUUUUUGUCGCGCACUUCAGUAAACCCAUUUGAGUUUGCUAGUUGCUAUGUAUAUAUGUAAUUCCCUCAGUUAUGUAUAUAUGUACGCACUCCUUUGGGCUUUGUUUUUGUGCCUUUACCGCAGUGUGUCAAUCGCCUUUUCACUGGUGCGCUUGCUCGUCGUAGUUUGGCAAAUCGUUCGCUCAAACUCAAAUCUCAAUUCAGUCGUCGACAAAGGAGAAAAGGUGAAGGACACACUGCGAAAUAAACCAAGUUUCUAUAACUUGCGUUAAAUUCGCCAGCGAGUCGA